CACCCAACUUUGAGAUCUUACAUUUUAGUCCGAUUAUGUAAGUUUGGCGUAAUUAUAAGUCCAAAGUUAUUGCUAACUACUAGAGAGGAACAUAAUGGAAAAGCUAAAAAGGAUCAUCGAACUUACGAGAUUCUAAUUUAAAAUAAUUGUAAUUUAUAUGUCGGAAGAAAUGAUGUGUUCUUUUAUACUUUCUAUUCUUUCUUUUUCCCUCUUUUCAACUCAGAGAAGGAUGUCGACCAUAAUAGUUUAUGUAUGUUAGUAAUCUUGAACAUGAUUGAGGAAAGCUAUGGAACUGAAAGGUCUUGGUUUGGAUGAUCAAAGUGGACUUAAUAAAUACUGUAAUGUUUAUGAUGUUAUUUCCUACUGUUGGAUAAACCAUCUUUGUGCUCAAAGUAUCAAUUGCUAAGAGAUGGUUACUAUACUUGAGUCUCUGUAUUUAUUAGGGUUUAUUUUUAGUAAUUUAGAUUGUGGGAG
rnacentral:lncRNA from 1 species